rnacentral:tRNA from 1 species
CAGGGAGACAACAAAAUGUUUAAUAUUAAUUUUGUCACCUUAGGUCGAUCGGUAUCUCACAUUCUUAAUUUAUUAAGGAUUUCAUUUCCUAAGUUUUUUCUAGGUCACACCCAUUAUUUUUCCUGGGCCAUUAGCUCAGGUGGUUAGAGCGCACCCCUGAUAAGGGUGAGGUCCCUGGUUCAAGUCCAGGAUGGCCCAUAUCUCUAUGUUGGGGGUAUAGCUCAGUUGGUAGAGCGCCUGCUUUGCAAGCAGGAUGUCAGCGGUUCGAGUCCGCUUACCUCCACUGAUUUCCACCUCUUUCAUAAUCUAUUGAAAGGAAAUGUUUUGAGAUGUGAUCAAAUUCUGAACGAAUCUAGCUUCCUAAUAUAAAUUAUUAAGAUGCUGGACUCAUUGAAUUAAUUUCAUUGUUUUCAGAGAACCUUGACAACUGCAUAGAUUAUUUUUAAAGACAAUAAGCAUCUUUAAUGAUGCAGAUUUAUUAUUUGUGCGAAUGCAUUAAUAACAAUUCUAUUAAGCUGAUGCUUCAAUUUUUGAAGUUAUU